rnacentral:tRNA from 1 species
GCCUAAAUAGCUCAGUUGGUAGAGCAAAGGAUUGAAAAUCCUUGUGUCAAUGGUUCAAAUCCGUUUUUGGGCA